rnacentral:rRNA from 1 species
AGGAUGAACGCUGGCGGCGUGCCUAACACAUGCAAGUCGAACGAAGCUUACGGGUUAGCUUGCUAACUUGUAGGACUGAGUGGCGGACGGGUGAGUAACACGUGGGUAACCUACCUGGAAGACUGGGAUAACAGCUCGAAAGGGCUGCUAAUACCGGAUAAAGUGCCUUUGGAACAAUUUAUGGGCACCAAAGCGUUAAGUAGUGCUUUCAGAUGGGCCCGCGGCCCAUUAGUUAGUUGGUGGGGUAAUGGCCUACCAAGGCGAUGAUGGGUAGCUGGUCUGAGAGGAUGGACAGCCACACUGGGACUGAGAACGGCCCAGACUCCUACGGGAGGCAGCAGUGGGGAAUAUUGCGCAAUGGGGGCAACCCUGACGCAGCGACGUCGUGUGAGUGAAGAAGGCUUUCGGGUUGUAAAGCUCUGUCUACGGGGAAGAUAAUGACGGUACCCGUGGAGGAAGCCCCGGCUAACUACGUGCCAGCAGCCGCGGU